rnacentral:misc_RNA from 1 species
AACUUUUGGCAACGGAUCUCUUGGCUCUCGCAUCGAUGAAGAACGCAGCGAAUUGCGAAAAGUAAUGUGAAUUGCACAACUCGUGAAUCAUCGAACCUUUGAACGCACAUUGCACUUUCGGGCCCAUCCUGAAAGUAUGCCUGGUUGAGUGUCUGUUUUACCUUUCCACUCGUGGAGUCUUGGGUUAUGCUUUCGGGCUUACCUGUAAAACAGCGCGGUCUGCAAGGGAGAAAUCCUGUUCGCAAAGCUUGGCUAGUUAAUACUAGACGUGUCACAGCUGGGUUGCUUGCAACUCCACACCUGCGCGUCUAUACGGUAUUUUCUGGCAAUAUAAAGAGCCUGAACACGCUUGCCGCGAUCAAUGUUGCCUCGGCAACUGACGCAAGUCAAUCUCAACAUCAAGACCUCAACUCAGGCAGGACUACCCGCUGAACUUAAGCAUAUCAAUAAGCGGAGGCU